CCUACGGGGGGCUGCAGUGAGGAAUAUUGGUCAAUGGACGCAAGUCUGAACCAGCCAUGCCGCGUGCAGGAAGACGGCUCUAUGAGUUGUAAACUGCUUUUGUACGAGGGUAAACGCAGAUACGCGUAUCUGUCUGAAAGUAUCGUACGAAUAAGGAUCGGCUAACUCCGUGCCAGCCGCCGCGGUAAUACGGAGGAUGCGAGCGUUAUCCGGAUUCAUUGGGUUUAAGGGGUGCGCAGGCGGGCCUUUAAGUCGGCGGUGAAAUCGCGGGGCUCAACCCCGCCGGGCCGUCGGAACUGGGGGCAGUGAGUGCGGCGGAGGCAGGCGGAAUGCGCGGUGUAGCGGUGAAAUGCAUAGAUAUCGCGCAGAACCCCGAUGGCGAAGGCAGCGUGCCGUGCCGCCACUGACGCUGAGGCACGAAAGCGCGGGGAUCGAACAGGAUUAGAUACCCUUGUAGUC
rnacentral:rRNA from 1 species